rnacentral:rRNA from 1 species
AACGAACGCUGGCGGCAUGCCUAACACAUGCAAGUCGAACGAGACCUUCGGGUCUAGUGGCGCACGGGUGCGUAACGCGGGGGAACCUGCCCGUAGGUUCGGAAUAACUCCCCGAAAGGGGUGCUAAUACCGGAUAAUGUCUUCGGACCAAAGAUUUAUCGCCGUUGGAUGGGCCCGCGUUGGAUUAGCUGGUUGGUAGGGUAAAAGCCUACCAAGGCGACGAUCCAUAGCUGGUCUGAGAGGAUGAUCAGCCACACUGGGACUGAGACCCGGCCCAGACUCCUACGGGAGGGAGCAGUGGGGAAUAUUGGACACGGGGCGAAAGCCUGAUCCAGCAAUGCCGCGUAAGUGAUGCAGGCCUUAGGGUUGUAAAUCUCUUUUACCCGGGAUGAUAAUGACAGUACCGGGAGAAUAAGCUCCGGCUAACUCCGUG